CCGGAUCCCUCCCACAUUAGACCUACCACACCCUCAGGGCAGACAACAGCUCCACACACCCCACACUCAGCCACCAGGGCAAGGGAGCAAAAUUCCAGAAAGCUCAGAGCGGACUGAUGUACUGGCCCUUAGUACAGCUAACCAACUUCAGCCUUGUUCCUGUUCAAUGGAGAACAGCUUACGCUGGAGUCUGUGGUUUUCUCUGGGCCACCUUCAUCUGUUUUUCCCAGCAGAGCGGUGACGGCACAUUCAAGUCAGCUUUCACCAUUUUAUAUACAAAGGGGACCAGUGCCACAGAAGGGUCCCCGGAGAAAUGAGAAGUCAAGGACUCUCUUAAAGGGACCACAUUUUGACCUAAAAUGCACAGAAUUGCCUGCAGACAAAAUAUUUGAUGUGCCAAUUAUGCACUUCAUUUUGAGGAAUUACUACUAUUUAUAGACCCACUUUU
rnacentral:lncRNA from 1 species